rnacentral:rRNA from 1 species
UACGAAGGGGGCUAGCGUUGUUCGGAAUUACUGGGCGUAAAGCGUGCGCAGGCGGCUUCUCAAGUCAGGGGUGAAAGCCCAGAGCUCAACUCUGGAAUUGCCUUUGAGACUGAGUGGCUUGAGUACGGGAGAGGUGAGUGGAAUUCCCAGUGUAGAGGUGAAAUUCGUAGAUAUUCGGAAGAACACCAGUGGCGAAGGCGACUCACUGGACACGUAUUGACGCUGAGGUGCGAAAGCGUGGGGAGCAAACAGG